UACAGAGGGUGCGAGCGUUAAUCGGAAUUACUGGGCGUAAAGCGCGCGUAGGCGGCUUUGCAAGUCGGGUGUGAAAUCCCCAGGCUUAACCUGGGAACUGCAUUCGAGACUGCAUUGCUAGAGUAUGGGAGAGGGAAGUGGAAUUUCCGGUGUAGCGGUGAAAUGCGUAGAUAUCAGGAGGAACACCGAUGGCGAAGGCAGCUGCCUGGCCUAGAACUGACGCUGAGGUGCGAAAGCGUGGGGAGCGAACAGG
rnacentral:rRNA from 1 species